AUGCACAUGAUGGCGAGGCGAGAGCGAGAUGUGGAUUUUUUCUUCAAGUACUUGGUAGACGAGCAUGGCCAUCUGAAGGGACUGUUCUGGGCUGAUAGUCAAUCGCGACUUGACUACGAGGCUUUCGGAGACGUCAUUGUUUUCGAUAGCACAUACAGAACCAACAAAUACAAUCUGCCAUUCGUGCCUUUUGUCGGGUUGAAUCACCACCGCAUCACUGUUAUAUUUGGCCGUGGUAUAAUUUCUCAUGAAACAAGCCAGGCAUACGAGUGGAUGUUGCAGACCUUUUCUGAUUGCGUGGCACAGAAGCAUCCGAUAUCUGUGAUCACAGAUGGGGACCUUGCAAUGCAGAGAGCAAUAAGGGUGGUCUGGCCAGACUCAAACCAUAGACUAUGUAUAUGGCACAUUCAGCAGAACAUUGUACGCCAUCUGCAUGAUGACGACGUAAAGGAGGAAUUCAGAUCUUUCAUUUAUGAUACUUCUUCCAUUGAAGAGCAUGAGAUAAAAUGGAUACAAAUCUUACAACAGAAUAAAGUAACCAGUGAGGAGUCUUGGCUGCAUCAGAUGUAUCAGAUGAGAAAGUUGUGGUGUGCUCCAUAUCUUGAGGGGCGUUGUUUCCUAGGAUUGAGCAGCAAUCAGAGGAGUGAGAGCUUGAACUCUGUGCUACAUACGCAUUUUGAGGGUAAGAUGUCGUUGUUUGAAAUGCUAGAACACUAUGAGCGUUGUCUUGCGUCGCGAUGGAUUAACGAAGCUCUCCAUGACGUCGAAGCCUUGCGGUUCGUUCCAUUUACAGAGGAAAAUGCUUCGCCGCUUGAGAAACACGCCGUAACAGUUUUCACACCUAGUGUCUUUAAGAUGGUCUUAUGGAGCAUAGAUGCUGUCAGCAAAUGUCAGAUUAGAGAGAUACUAGAUGGAUCAGAAGAUUCCACUUAUGUUGUGUCCAAGCAGGAAAGAAUGGAUAAAAAGUUUGGAGUGCGCAUUGAAGAGCAAGGAGGUCUUUUGCACAGGGUGAGUUGUUCUUGCCGUAAGCUGGAAUGCGCAGGCACACCAUGUUCCCACAUUUUUUACAUAUUGGGGAUUUUAAAACAAACAAUUCUGCCCGGUUGUUGCGUUCCCACUAGGUGA
rnacentral:rRNA from 1 species